rnacentral:rRNA from 2 species
UACGUAGGGUGCGAGCGUUAAUCGGAAUUACUGGGCGUAAAGCGUGCGCAGGCGGUUCGUUGUGUCUGAUGUGAAAUCCCCGGGCUCAACCCGGGAACUGCAUUGGAAACUGGCGGACUUGAGUGCGGCAGAGGGGGGUGGAAUUCCGCGUGUAGCAGUGAAAUGCGUAGAGAUGCGGAGGAACACCGAUGGCGAAGGCAGCCCCCUGGGCCGACACUGACGCUCAGGCACGAAAGCGUGGGGAGCAAACAGG